GCCUGGCGUGUUGGCACAUGCCUGUAGUCCCAGCUACUCAAGAGUCUGAGGUGAUAGGGUCGCUUGAGCCCAGGAGUUCUGGGCUAUGGUGUGCUAUGCUGAUCCGAUGUCUGCACUAAGUUCAGCUUCAAUAUGGUGACCUCCAAGGAGUGGGGGACCACCAGGUUGCCUAAAGAGGGGCAAAGCAACCCAGGUAGGGAAUGGGGCAGAUCAGAACUCCUGUGCCGAUCAGUGGUGAGAUGGUGCCUGUACCUGGCCACUGCACCCCAGCCUGGGCAACAUAGCAAGACCUCAUCUCU
rnacentral:SRP_RNA from 1 species